UUUAAAGCCUCAUGGAGCUCUUGCUGCCUCUCGGGUCCUGAUCUGUCAGGUAGUCCUGCUUCCACGGUAUGAACACUCUGCUGCUAUCAGUAGCUCUAGCUUCUGAGCACACACACACCUGGGCACAUCCCAGGGACUCAAUAAUUUCUGCUCCUCUAUGCACUGUCCACUCUGGUAGGAGGUCUACACCUUUCUCACAUGUGCCCUCAGAAGUCACACCUGCCGUUGUGCCUACCAGUCGGCCUUCUUGGUUCUCUGUGUACUCACUGUCCUCUGAAUGUGAGCCAUUUACCAUAC
rnacentral:lncRNA from 1 species